AUAACAGGAAAGGAAGUUAAACAAGUUUUGCUGCUCCCUGGAAGUUGCUGUCUAGGGCUGUGUGUGGACAUGUGGGGCUAAGUUAUCACUCUGGGAUCUCCAAUGGAUUCCUGCCUGGCCGUGCACACUUUCCCUGAGGUGUUUUGUUUCUAGCAUUGUUAAUAACACCACGAUCACUUUGUCUUGCUUUUUGGGAUGAUAUCUCUCAGAAGGAGGCUGUGUUCA
rnacentral:lncRNA from 1 species